rnacentral:rRNA from 1 species
GUCCUACGGGACGCAGCAGUAGGGAAUUUUCGUCAAUGGGCGCAAGCCUGAACGAGCAAUGCCGCGUGAACGAGGAAGGUCUUCGGAUCGUAAAGUUCUGUUGAAGGGGAAAAAGAGCAGAGAGAGGAAAUGAACUCCGAUUGAUAUUACCCUUCGAGGAAAUCACGGCUAACUACGUGCCAGCAGCCGCGGUAAUACGUAGGUGGCGAGCGUUAUCCGGAAUGAUUGGGCGUAAAGGGUGCGUAGGCGGCCUGCUAAGGCUGGCGUGAACGGUACCGGCUCAACCGGUACAGG